AUACGGAGGGUGCAAGCGUUGUUCGGAAUUACUGGGCGUAAAGGGCGCGCAGGCGGUUUGGUAAGUCAGAUGUGAACGUCCAGGGCUUAACCCUGGAAGUGCAUAUGAAACUGUCAGACUUGAGUAUCAGAGGGGAAAGUGGAAUUCCCGGUGUAGAGGUGAAAUUCGUAGAUAUCAGGAAGAAUACCGGUGGCGAAGGCGACUUUCUGGCUGAAUACUGACGCUGAGGCGCGAAAGCGUGGGGAGCAAACAGGAUUAGAAACCCUAGUAGUCC
rnacentral:rRNA from 1 species